rnacentral:lncRNA from 1 species
GCUGUGCGUCGGACGUCGAGCGGGAAAAUCGAGUCGCUCGGAACCCACAAGAAGCCAGAAACAGAAACAGAGCCAGAGUCAGAGUCCGAUCCAAGCGAGAGCGCGCUAAGGCAAAAGUUUCAAACGGUUUUGGGCAAAGGCAACGUUGAAUGCACUUCGGAGAUUCAUCAGUGCGCGCGUUCGUGGGCCUUUUGUUUACGCGGGUUUUACGGAAUGUGUGCCAAAUAGGAUGAGGGCGUGGACACGCCCAUUCAAGUUGCUGCAUUAAGUGAGGAGAAGUGAUGUGAAGUGAAGUGAAGUGAAGUGGAGUGAGGUACAUAUAUAUAUACACACAAGUACAUGGUGCCAUCUUCGCCUGCUCCAUCAUCCAUCAGUGGUGGGGUGGAGACAACAGUCUGCCAGAUGUGAGCCAUGAUUGUGAGUGCAAUGUGUCUUUUAUAAAUCAAGGAAAAUCACAUUUUAAAUUGCUGCGCAUUAGAACGGAUACAAAAGCCAAGCCAGCCAGCAGGCAAGCAGAGAAAGGACAGAGAAAGCAAUGAAAGGCAGGCCAGAUCGAAAGUCAAACGCCGUCAAACGCUGAUUGCGACGUCGCCUAUCCACAAAAGGGAAAAUAAACCAGAAAAAUAUACACUUACAAAUAUAUAGCCGUAGAAUAAAAUAAAAAGGAAACGCGGAGGAUUUGACUGAUGUGAAUGAAGUGAAAGAUGUGACUCCUGCGCGAGUGCUUGGAUAGGGAUAACCCCAUUCCGAAGAGGGGCACGUGCACCGCCCCACGUAGGCGGCCAUUGUUUAGCCCACAUGUAUUUCAAUUUGAUUAUAUUGAUGAGCAUAUGAUGUAAUAUAUGGAGAUAUAAUCUGAUUAGAGGCAGAGGCAGAGGCAGAGGCAGGUGGCUUAGAGGCACUUGAGACUGAGCUCUCCUCCGCCUAAAGCAUGCGUCGUACUCGUACCAUCUGGCUCUUUCCUUGUUGUUUGCGGGUCGUGCUCUGCAAUAGAUUUUAAAACUCAUUAAUGUGCAAAGACGCCAAUUUCCCAAGUCUCUGCCCUUCGUUGUAGGUGUCAUUAGACAGGUGAGCAAAACUCUGGGACCCAGGGAGCGGAAGGGGACGAGAAGAAGAGCUGACAAUGAUACUGGCAAAUCAAUAAAGGUGUGGAAACAGGUGCCGCAACUGGGCCAAGACAUUUGAUAGCAGUUCAAAAGGAGAAAGAAAGGAAGUAUAAAAUAAAUACAAAAGGGAAAGGAUUUCACGCUUGACAGCGCAAAAGCAAAUGGCAAAAAUAAAUAUUAUAUCUCCCGAUCAAACCGAAAUAAAUCGUUGAUUAAUUGACGGAAGCUCGGAGGGAACUUGCAACUUGGAUAACUGGGAUAAAGUUCUUUAAAUAGCUGAGUGGAAACAGUUUAGAUGAUUAGGAAAGCAAAACGGAUUACAUUUACACAGCUGAAGAGUUUCACAUUCGAGAUGAUUAAGGAAUUUAAAUGGCACAAACAAAUAUGUAGAAAUAGCUUAAAAAUAAUUGUUCAAUAUAUGGAGGGACUUUCGAAAUAACACAAAGAUAACUAGGUAGAUAAAAUGGAGGCAUAUCCAAAAGAUUUUUCUCAGGAAUACUCGUACAUACGUACUAUGCAUGGACAUAUGUACAGACUAGUCCGAGUACAUAAUCAGGGACCAUCAAUCUAGGGCUCUUUUGUUGGGAAAUACUUGGACACUGAGAUAGGCAUUCGUCAAUCUUGCCUCAAGUUAAAUGGAAUUCCUGGGAAAAAAAGAAUUUAUCGUCUUCGUAUAAAUUAGCUCGAAAUUAGAUUAGGAUAUCAUUUCGGCAGGACCAAGCCCAACGUCCGCGGAAAGCCCGGUAAGCGGGGAAAGUAGUCUUUCUCGUAGUCUGUGCCCCACAGUGGGAUAUUUUCCUGGAAAUAAAUAUCAAUUUGUUUGUUAGCUCACCCAAUUAAACACUCAUCCACAGAGCCACAUCGUGACCCCAUCUAUUUCCUCUAGUUUAGGGAUAGGAAUAAUGCAUUUGGAUGUCGGUUUUGGGGACCCGACUUCGAUUUGCCGGCUGUGAGCCACAUAAAUGCUGCAUCCGGGCAUUAGCUUGGAGGAUUCAGCACAGCUUUUCAGGCCAAUCGACAGCAAGAACAACAAAAUAAAAAAAUCUCCCGAUUCAGCAGCCAUUACAAAUUUGCCAAACUCAGCAAGGAUUCGCCUGCGAAAGCAGAAACAGAAGCAUCAGAGAGGGUGAGACUGUGCCGAGACGGAGAGGGAGAACCAAUGCAAUUCAUUAAUUUAUUGACUUAUAAUCAAGGCAUCUAAAAACUUAUGCCCAGAGGCAGAGGCAGAGCAAGAACAAGAUAAAUAUACAUUUAUCACAUAAAUAGAACACUAGCAGCAGCCGCCCGGAGGCCAAAAAGCAAAGCUCGAGGCACUCCUCUGCGGUUGUGGCUGACUCCUGGGCUCCUGGUGGCUUGCCUCCUGGUGGCUGCUGCCAUGUUUGCUGGGACCCACUGGGAAAGUUAUCUGUAGGUCUUUUUGCCUUUCUCUCGCCUGGCUGCUGCGGUUGGCUUUACCAAAUAAAGCACGAAAUAAGCUAAAGCAUACGUUUUCGGCCUGCGGUUCUAAGUACUCCAAAGAAAUAUCAACAAAAAAACGUGAAGUCGGAGAUAUACAGUCACGUCCUGACUGGGUCUCCCCCCCCCCCCCCCCCCCCCCGUAUUGGGGUAAAGGCAUUUCGGUAUGCAAAUCCGACCAAGAAGACUUCAUAAAAGCAAUGCAAAUAAUUAAAUAACAGAACGGAGAAGGGAAAACCCAGAGCACAGAGAACAAAAACCAGAACACGAA